AUUGAACGCUAGCGGCAGGCCUAACACAUGCAAGUCGAACGAGUGGCGGACGGGUGAGUAAUGUCUCGGAAACUGCCUAAUAGAGGGGGAUCACUACUGGAAACGGUAGCUAAUACCGCAUACCAUCAGAUGUGCCCAUAUGGGAUUAGCUUGUUGGUGGGGUAACGGCUCACCAAGGCGAAGAUACCUAGCUGGUAUGAGAGGAUGACCAGCCACACUGGGACUGAGACACGGUCCAGACUCCUACGGGAGGCAGCAGUGGUGAAUGUUGCACAAUGGGUGCAACCCUGAUACAGCCAUGCCGCGUGUAUGAAGAAGGCCUUCGGGUUGUAAAGUACUUUAAGCGGGGAGGCGUUAUCCGCAGAAGAAGCACCGGCUAACUACGUGCCAGCCGCCGCGGUAAUUC
rnacentral:rRNA from 1 species